UACGUAGGGUGCAAGCGUUGUCCGGAAUUAUUGGGCGUAAAGAGCUCGUAGGCAGUCUGUCGCGUCGGCUGUGAAAACCCGGAGCUCAACUCCGGGCCUGCAGUCGAUACGGCGAACUGGAGUACUGCAGGGGAGACUGGAAUUCCUGGUGUAGCGGUGAAAUGCGCAGAUAUCAGGAGGAACACCGGUGGCGAAGGCGGGUCUCUGGGCAGUAACUGACGCUGGAGGAGCGAAAGCCGUGGGGAGCGAACAGG
rnacentral:rRNA from 1 species